rnacentral:rRNA from 1 species
UGAGGAAUAUUGGUCAAUGGGUGCAACNCUGAACCAGCCAUCCCGCGUGAAGGACGACUGCCCUAUGGGUUGUAAACUNCUUUUGUANAGGGAUAAACCUACCCUCGUGAGGGUAGCUGAAGGUACNAUACGAAUAAGNACCGGCUAACUCCGUGCCAGCAGCCGCGGUAAUACGGAGGNUGCAAGCGUUAUCCGGAUUUAUUGGAUUUAAAGGGUNCGUAGGCGGACUNAUAAGUCAGGGGUGAAAGNCUGUCGCUNAACNAUNGAACUGCCNUUGAUACUGNANNUCUUGAGUAUAUUUGAGGUAGCUGGAAUNAGNNNUGUAGCGGUGAAAUGCAUAGAUAUUACUUAGAACACCAAUUGCGAAGGCAGGUUACCAAGAUAUNACUGACGCUGAGGGACNAAAGCGUGGGGAGCGAACAGGAUUAGAUACCCUGGUAGUCCACGCCGUAAAACGAUGCUAACUCGCUUUUUGGGCUUUANGGUUCAGAGACCAAGCGAAAAGCUGAUAAGUUAGCCACCUGGGGGAGUACGCCNCGCAANGAGUG